rnacentral:lncRNA from 1 species
UACAUUUAUUUGAAUUACAUCUGACCAUGGACUACGUGUGGGCCAAACCGCAUCAUAGACAAGACUCCUGCUUACAAUAAUAAUAACACAAUUGUUUAAGAUCAAAUAAACUGCCUAUAAAACAAGUAGCAAAACGAAAAACAAGCUAUUACAAUCAUCAUCAAUAAUGGUCAAAUAAAAGCUAAUUGAGAGUUCAAGACUAUUAGUUGAGAUUCACCCGUUUCAGAGAUCUGGAACCAUGCCCAUCACCAUGCUGCACAA